GGAAACAAAACUAUGCAUUGUUGAGUCUGUCGGAGUGUGUUCUCAUACUUUCUGCGUGGAGGCUCCGGGGAAUCAUUUGGAGCAACGCCACGGGCCACCGAUGCCAGGAAUUCUUGCCUCUUCUGCUGCACCAGACGGGCGGCGCUGAUUAUCUUGUGGCAGGGUGUCCUCAGGAAGAAGCCGUAAGGGUAAGAGCACUUCAGCACACGACGCGUCUUCAGGAGCUCACACACACCGUCCUCAAUGAAACGCGUGUCUGGAGGAGUACCUUCACCUGGACAGAAAAAACACACAAGUCAUCUCCUUGGACUGCUCCUCGAGCUGUUGGAUGACCUCGUAGCGAGUGCAGCGGUAAUAGCCUCCUGUUGACGAGCUGUGCUUCUUCCACUCCUCCAGACAGAUCCAACAGAAGUCAUACUUACACUACAGAGAGAGAUAGUUAAUUUUACAAUCCUCACCCAAAUACAGCACAGUAUGAAAUAAAAAUAAAGACUUAUUCAUAGUCAGUGAUCAGACAAACAGCUGACAGAG